AACGUAGGAGGCGAGCGUUAUCCGGAUUCACUGGGCGUAAAGCGCGCGUAGGCGGUUAGGUAAGUCGGACGUUAAAGCCCCUGGCUCAACUGGGGGAGGUCGUUCGAUACUGCUUGGCUUGAGGGUGAGAGAGGAAAGCGGAAUUCCCGGUGUAGCGGUGGAAUGCGUAGAGAUCGGGAGGAACACCAGUGGCGAAGGCGGCUUUCUGGCUCACUUCUGACGCUGAGAGCGCGAAAGCGUGGGGAGCAAACGGG
rnacentral:rRNA from 1 species